rnacentral:rRNA from 1 species
GCCUAGCUUGCUAAGCUUGUUUUUAGUGGCGCACGGGUGAGUAACACGUGAGUUACCUGCCCCCAAGAGUGGGAUAGCCCCGGGAAACUGGGAUUAAUACCGCAUAAUAUCGCAAGAUUAAAGGUGCAAACCGCUUGGGGAUGGGCUCGCGGCCUAUUAGUUAGUUGGUGAGGUAACGGCUCACCAAGGCGAUGACGGGUAGCCGGUCUGAGAGGAUGUCCGGCCACACUGGAACUGAGACACGGUCCAGACACCUACGGGUGGCAGCAGUCGAGAAUCAUUCACAAUGGGGGAAACCCUGAUGGUGCGACGCCGCGUGGGGGAGCGAAGGUCUUCGGAUUGUAAACCCCUGUCAAGUGGGAGCAAAUUAAAAAGAUAGUACCACUAGAGGAAGAGACGGCUAACUCUGUGCCAGCAGCCGCGGUAAUACAGAGGUCUCAAGCGUUGUUCGGAAUCACUGGGCGUAAAGCGUACGUAGGCGGCUUGGUAAGUCGUGUGUGAAAGGCAGGGGCUCAACCUCUGGACUGCACAUGAUACUGCCAGGCUAGAGUAAUGGAGGGGAAACCGGAAUUCUCGGUGUAGCAGUGAAAUGCGUAGAUAUCGAGAGGAACACUCGUGGCGAA